AAUAGAUACCCCGGUAGUCCACGCCGUAAACGAUGAGUGCUAAGUGUUAGAGGGUUUCCGCCCUUUAGUGCUGCAGCUAACGCAUUAAGCACUCCGCCUGGGGAGUACGGCCGCAAGGCUGAAACUCAAAGGAAUUGACGGGGGCCCGCACAAGCGGUGGAGCAUGUGGUUUAAUUCGAAGCAACGCGAAGAACCUUACCAGGUCUUGACAUCCUCUGGCAACCCUAGAGAUAGGGCUUUCCCCUUCGGGGGACAGAGUGACAGGUGGUGCAUGGUUGUCGUCAGCUCGUGUCGUGAGAUGUUGGGUUAAGUCCCGCAACGAGCGCAACCCUUGAUCUUAGUUGCCAGCAUUCAGUUGGGCACUCUAAAGUGACUGCCGGUGACAAACCGGAGGAAGGUGGGGAUGACGUCAAAUCAUCAUGCCCCUUAUGACCUGGGCUACACACGUGCUACAAUGGAUGGUACAAAGGGCUGCAAACCUGCGAAGGUAAGCGAAUCCCAUAAAGCCAUUCUCAGUUCGGAUUGCAGG
rnacentral:rRNA from 1 species